rnacentral:misc_RNA from 1 species
UCGAAACCUGCCAAGCAGAACGACCCGUGAACGCGUUGCAAACAACACCGGAGGUGGUGCGGGUGCAUCCUCGCCUCUCGCCACCCCCGUGUCUCGGAGCGGCCAGUCUCGUCGUCCCUUUGCCCGUCGGGCGGGGUGAGAUGCCGGGAUCAACCUCUUCGAGGCAAAACGAACAAACCCCCGGCGCGAAUCGCGCCAAGGAAUCGAAACGAAAAAAGGGGCACGUCUGCUGUCGCCGCACCGUUCGCGGUGUCGGUGCUUCAGUGAUGUUGUUCUCUUGUCGCAAAAUAUAC